rnacentral:lncRNA from 1 species
UCAAAUGUAGCUUCUGGUGAUGAUAUCGCUUCUGAUGAAAUUCUGCUUCUGAUGAACUUCUGCUUCUGAUGACGUCAUUACUUCAGAAGCACUUGUUACUUCAUAAGCACUUUAGCUUCAGACGCAGUUUUCUUCAGAUGCUUUGGAUUCCUUUGCUCUCCAUUGUUCUUCCAAGACCUAUUUAAAUUGAUUGACUUUGCCUAUGGUCCUGUACACUUGAACAAUUAUUAGCAAUAACCAAUUGACAAUUUUUAAUACCUUGUUAUCAUCAAAACUCAUUAAGGUUUAUUGUGAAACACAUUUUGUUCCAACAGUUGUCAAAAGCUUUCUUGAAAUCAAGUUUGAAAGCAACCAUACCCUUUUUCUUCAUAGAUCUACACAUGUAGUGGAUGAUUUCCUGCAAAAUAACGACAUUAUCAUAACAUAGCAUAUUGAUAUGAUAAAUGUUUGAUGAUGCUAUAUUGAUUGUGAAAUUGAUGACAAUGUGAUAUUCAUGAUGAAAUGACGAUGAUGUAGAAUAGUGACGAUGAAUAUAUAUAUAUAUAUAUAUAUAUAUAUAUAUAUAUAUAAAGUGACGUUGAUGAUGAUGUGUGUUGUAUUGUAUGAAUAUAUGCAUUGUCGAGUUAUAUGUUCAUGCGUACAUGGCCAAUCCAGUGACAAUGAGAUCCCUCAUAAACAUACUUCUGAUAUCCAAAGUGACAAUGGGAUCACUAGGUAACAUAACUCUGAUAUCCAAAAUGGUACCACAUGCGUAUAGAGUCGUGUCUAGAACAUAGCAUGUGUAACACCCCGUUUUCCCAACUUGAAAAAUUAAUACAUAAUAAUCAGAGUAAUCAACUUAAACAGGAUGUCACACUACUUUAAAAGAUAAAUAGAGUAGAAUUACUAUUUAUUUAAGGCUUAAUUGCACUUUUGGACCCCUAUCUUUCCAAAAGUUGCGGUUAUAGACCCCUAACUAAUUUAAAUACAUAACAGCCCCCUAUGUUUUGAUUCUUUGGCAGUUUUGGCCCCCCAAGGCAAAAUAAAAAUAAAAAAUUUGACACAUGGCACCUCACUUAGGGUGCCACGUUAGCGUUGACCGAGUCAACACUGGACUGGGGGUUCAAAACUGCCAAAGAAUCAAAACAUAGGGGGCUGUUUUGUAUUUAAAUUAGUUAGGGGUCCAUAACCGCAACUUUUGGAAAGAUAGAGGUCCAAAAGUGCAAUUAAGCCUUUAUUUAAACAUCUUUCAUCAAUAAUUCAAAUUACAUCGCAGCGGAAAAACAUUUCAUUAUUCAACAAAAUGGCACUACGGCAUCAACAUAAACAACUUAUUAAAAUUUCAUUCUAGGUAGUUCAUCAACAUAAUUCAUAAUAAUACGUAACAAAUGAAAAACAACACAAAUAUCUCCAUUCCGUUACGUAUCAGAGAGACCCUAAGACGACGCGUGAGAGAGUCAACUCACUUCAACAACUAAUCCUGGUUAUCUGCACGUUACCCACGUAGACACAACGCGUUAGACCAAAUCCAAUGGAAAGCUAACAAAAUUAUCUAAAACUUUCAUGUUUACACCAAAGGCCAAUUCAAAACCGAAACGUGUGAAAAAGACGCAAGAACAUAAAACAGGGUAUGCUAUCACUGUGCAAUUUCGCUAAUGGCGAAAAGUUAGCUAGUAGCGAAAUUGUUACAGAGGAUUUCGCCAAUAGCGAACUUCUAGCGAGUUUUUCCCCUGCUGUUACGAUUUCUGCACAUUUUUCACCCAAAAAACCCAAAUUUCAUCUACCCAAAUCCCAAAUUUGAUAGGAAACUUAACCUAUGAUUAUUCUACAAUCUGAAUAACAAUUCUCACCAUGAUUCAUUGGAUUACAUACACUUUCAAAAAUCAAAUUGAAAUUCAAAACCUAAUUUCAUUAACAUCAUAAUUUCAAUAAUCAAUUUUAACCCGAAUUUCUAUAACAACAAAACUAACAAGGCUAAACUGCAUUUUUCACCCCCUAUGUUUCAAAAUAUUGCAAUUUUGGUCCCCUAUUAAAAAAAUAGCAAUUUUGGCCCCUUUCAUCCAAAAAUUGUUGAGAAGACGCCACAUGUCCCAAAAAAGGGGCCAUAAUCACAACUUUUUGUAAAGAUAAGGGGUCAAAAAACAUAUUUCCCUUAUGUUAGGAGGUCAAAAGAGCGUAUUUCCCUAAACAUAGGGGGUCACUUUUGCCAUUUUUUUUAAUAGGGGGUCAAAAUUGCAACAUUUUAAAACUUAGAGGGUGAAAAGUGAAGUUUAGCCAACUAACAAAACAACAUGUUAAACCCCUAUUCCAGAAUUAUAAACCUAAUUCCUAUAACAUCAAAACUAACAACAACUACAAGGUUAAACCCUUUUCAGAAUUAUACAACUCAUUAUUAGAGAAAGCUAGUCCCACCCUUACCUUAGAUUAGAUGAUCGGACUCUACAAGAUUGUUCCUCCUAUCUCACAAGAUUCUUCUCUUCUCUGACUUCUCACUUUCUCCCUUUUUCUCCCAAAAACUGUUUUCACGUAAUCCUUAUUUUCUAAUUCUAACUCUCCCCUUGUAUAUAAGUCCUUAACCUACUUAUUUUCUCUUAUUUCCAAAUCUGUCAUCCAAGUCUCAAUAUUCUAUUCUAAUAUAUAUAUAAAAUAUUUCUAUAAAAAAUAACAAAUAUAUUUAUACACCAGAUAACAUAUAUAUUUCUACACCAAAUAACAAAUAUAUUCCUACACCACAUAACAUAUAUUUCCACACCAAAUAACAUAAUAUUUCCACACCAAAUAACAUAAUAUUUCUACACCAAAUAUCAUAAUAUAUUAUACUAAUAAAUACCAACAUAUAAUAUAACAAAAUAUUACUCAUCAAAAUAAAUCGACUAAAUUAUAAAAAGACAUCUAAACUCAAUAAAAUAAAUAAAUAAUAAAAUAGGGUUUACAACAUGCAUACAAGUCUAUGUGAGAGCCGUGAUUUGAUUAUGUGAAUAUAUGUGAAGAUGUGUGCCUAAUGAUGUGUGUUCAUGUGAUAUUUGGUGAUGGUGUCGAAGCAUGAAUUAUAUAUUUUUGAUUUAGCGAUGAAGUGAUAAUGCAAUUACUUUUUAUAUCAUGUGUUUAUGAUAUGAGAUUUAAUAUGUUUGUUGAUUGACUAAGUAUGAAUGUAAUGAUGAUAGUUUAGGAAAUGAAUAUGUAUAUCCAUAUGCGAUGUUUUAAAUUCCUAAAUACUAUGCUUUUAUUCAUAUCUUUUUAUGUGAAUGUUGAUCUUACCCUCUAGUGGCAAUUUGGUCGCUUGAUCGACGUGAGUACCGGAGGAGGACUUGAGGCCUAUCCUCCUUCUUUGCUUUUGUUUUUGGAGUCUUAGUGGUUGUACUAUGAUUAGGGUGUUUGGGAGACUAUUUAUCUUUACUUUUGGAUUUUUAUGUUUUAGAGGAGCUUAGAGUUAUCUGGAUGAUGUAGUAUGAGAUGUUGAGAUGAUAACUUUAUGUUGUGACUCCGCUGCGACUGUUUUAUGAUUAUAAUGAUUUAUGACUAUUUUGGAUUUAUGAUGAAGUAGCACCUUGAACCUUUGUGAUUAUCUGUUGAUUUAUUAUUAAAUAUCGUAUUGGGGUUUGAGAGAGUUACAUGAUUGACAUUUUUUUAUACUACAACUUAGACAGUGUAUACUUGCACUAAGUUUUUCCACCUUAAAAUAUUUAGUGUUUUGGGAGACACCACAAGUGCAGAAACAAACAAAGAAAUUCAAUGACAAAGAAAAUAUAACAAGUCAUUUUAUUAGAAGCAAAGUAAUUUCAAAUGACUACUCAACGACAUUAUCUAUUUGAGGCAAUUUGAUGUGCUAUAACUUCUUCAACAACCGCUCUCUUGUUCUCUCAUAUAUAAGGACCUUAGCAGUUGAAUAAAGACAACAAGACUUAUAUCAUUUUUCACAAGUCCCUUACUCUAUUUGCCAUGAUCUUCAUUUCUCUAUUUGUUGUUGCAUUGAAUGUUGACGGUAAGCCAUUUUGUAUCAUCAAUGCAAAAUACAUAUGAUAAGAAAGAGUUCAUAUGAUUGGUCAUUUUUUUAUAUUACCUUUUUACAAAGUUUACUGCAAAGACACACAACACUUUAAUGUAUUUAAGACAUAAUUAAUUAUAAGUUUUUAAAAAAUACUAACACAACUCACUCAAGUACUUAAGAGAUAGGUAAUAAAAAUUUUGGUUUUCUUGAAGGUUUUUUUUACUCCUCCAUCAGCUCUAAAGCCUAGCCUUAAAUGUUUUUUUUAUUAAAACUGUUCAUUGAGUGCAAAGAUAAUGUGCAUAAAAAUUGUAAAAUCUAUAAGAUUUGAACAAAUCCAUACUCCAUCAUUGAUUAAGUUUGUAUAUGCAUUAAAAUAUAUUUGUUAGCUUGUUCAAGAUCCAACACUAAACAUUAUAUUUAUUGAUAUUGUUCAUAGAUUCAAAUAAAUAUUAUAAACAUAAAGGACAACACAAAUAUACUCUAUCAGUUGUCAAAUAUAAGCAAAUUUUGACUUUUUAGAUUUAUUCCAUUAAAAAUGUAUGUGGUCUAUAAUAUAGACCACAUACAUCGUUAAUUGAAUGAACCUAGAAAAUCAAAAUUUGAUUAUAAUUAACAAUGGAGGAAGUAUAUAGUAGUUAUAGCUCUGAUUUGGCUUAAAGUUCACAUGAAAUCCUUUUUUUAUUUUAUACUUUUUAGUGAUUUUCCUCUCUAUCAUCAAAGUUUAUUGAAUAAUAAUGAAUUUUUAUGAUUGAUAAGUUUUUUUAUGUGACAUAUUUACUAAGGGUGUUAAAAAGACAAACACAACUCAUUAAUGUACUAAAGAGAUGUUACAACUCAUUAAUAUAUUAAAGAGAUGUUUAAUAAUGAUUAUUAAUUUAUGAAGGUUUUUUACAUCUCCAUCGGCUCUUGAAUUAUUUACAGUUUUUAAGGUGAGAAUUAGCUUUAUAAGUCAUAAAGUGAUAAAACCAUAUUCUAUUUCUUACAUGCAUAUGGAAGAAAGUAUGGCUGAAAAGUUAAGUUUGUUUAUGUUAUGAUUAUCUUUAUUUCUCUCUUUUUUGUUGCAAUGAAUGUUGAUGGGACGUCAUUUUGUAUCAUCGAUGCAAAAUACAUAUGAUAAGAAAGAGUUCUUAUGAUUAGUUAAUUUUUUUAUGUUACCUUUUUCCUAAGGUUACUAAAAGACACACAACACUUUAAUGUACUUAAGACAAAUCUAAUUAUAAGUGUUCAAAAAUUACUAAUAACACGCCAAGGUACUCAAGAGUAACAUAAUAAACUUUUUAGUUUUAUGAAGGGUUUUUUCCUCCUCCAUCAGCUUUAAAGCCUAGCUCUAAUCUUUUUUAUUAAAACUAUUUGUUGUUCAUUGUGUGCAAAGAUAAUGUGUAUAAAAACUGUAAAAUCUAUGAGAGAUCUAUAAGAUUUGAACAAAUCCAUACCCAAUCUUUGAUCAAGUCUGUAUUUCCAUUAAAUGCAUUGAAACAUACUUUUUAGCUUGUUCAAGAUCCAACA